rnacentral:rRNA from 1 species
GAUGAACGCUGGCGGCGUGCCUAAUACAUGCAAGUCGAGCGAACGGACGAGAAGCUUGCUUCUCUGAUGUUAGCGGCAGACGGGUGAGUAACACGUGGAUAACCUACCUAUAAGACUGGGAUAACUUCGGGAAACCGGAGCUAAUACCGGAUAAUAUUUUGAACCGCAUGGUUCAAAAGUGAAAGACGGUCUUGCUGUCACUUAUAGAUGGAUCCGCGCUGCAUUAGCUAGUUGGUAAGGUAACGGCUUACCAAGGCAACGAUGCAUAGCCGACCUGAGAGGGUGAUCGGCCACACUGGAACUGAGACACGGUCCAGACUCCUACGGGAGGCAGCAGUAGGGAAUCUUCCGCAAUGGGCGAAAGCCUGACGGAGCAACGCCGCGUGAGUGAUGAAGGUCUUCGGAUCGUAAAACUCUGUUAUUAGGGAAGAACAUAUGUGUAAGUAACUGUGCACAUCUUGACGGCACCUAAUCAGAAAGCCACGGCUAACUACGUG